AAAUUGAAGAGUUUGAUCAUGGCUCAGAUUGAACGCUGGCGGCAGGCCUAACACAUGCAAGUCGAACGGUAACAGGAAGCAGCUUGCUGCUUUGCUGACGAGUGGCGGACGGGUGAGUAAUGUCUGGGAAACUGCCUGAUGGAGGGGGAUAACUACUGGAAACGGUGGCUAAUACCGCAUAAUGUCGCAAGACCAAAGAGGGGGACCUUCGGGCCUCUUGCCAUCAGAUGUGCCCAGAUGGGAUUAGCUUGUUGGUGAGGUAACGGCUCACCAAGGCGACGAUCCCUAGCUGGUCUGAGAGGAUGACCAGCCACACUGGAACUGAGACACGGUCCAGACUCCUACGGGAGGCAGCAGUGGGGAAUAUUGCACAAUGGGCGCAAGCCUGAUGCAGCCAUGCCGCGUGUAUGAAGAAGGCCUUCGGGUUGUAAAGUACUUUCAGCGGGGAGGAAGGUGUUGUGGUUAAUAACCACAGCAAUUGACGUUACCCGCAGAAGAAGCACCGGCUAACUCCGUGCCAGCAGCCGCGGUAAUACGGAGGGUGCAAGCGUUAAUCGGAAUUACUGGGCGUAAAGCGCACGCAGGCGGUCUGUCAAGUCGGAUGUGAAAUCCCCGGGCUCAACCUGGGAACUGCAUUCGAAACUGGCAGGCUUGAGUCUUGUAGAGGGGGGUAGAAUUCCAGGUGUAGCGGUGAAAUGCGUAGAGAUCUGGAGGAAUACCGGUGGCGAAGGCGGCCCCCUGGACAAAGACUGACGCUCAGGUGCGAAAGCGUGGGGAGCAAACAGGAUUAGAUACCCUGGUAGUCCACGCCGUAAACGAUGUCUACUUGGAGGUUGUGCCCUUGAGGCGUGGCUUCCGGAGCUAACGCGUUAAGUAGACCGCCUGGGGAGUACGGCCGCAAGGUUAAAACUCAAAUGAAUUGACGGGGGCCCGCACAAGCGGUGGAGCAUGUGGUUUAAUUCGAUGCAACGCGAAGAACCUUACCUGGUCUUGACAUCCACAGAACUUUCCAGAGAUGGAUUGGUGCCUUCGGGAACUGUGAGACAGGUGCUGCAUGGCUGUCGUCAGCUCGUGUUGUGAAAUGUUGGGUUAAGUCCCGCAACGAGCGCAACCCUUAUCCUUUGUUGCCAGCGAUUAGGUCGGGAACUCAAAGGAGACUGCCAGUGAUAAACUGGAGGAAGGUGGGGAUGACGUCAAGUCAUCAUGGCCCUUACGACCAGGGCUACACACGUGCUACAAUGGCGCAUACAAAGAGAAGCGACCUCGCGAGAGCAAGCGGACCUCAUAAAGUGCGUCGUAGUCCGGAUUGGAGUCUGCAACUCGACUCCAUGAAGUCGGAAUCGCUAGUAAUCGUGGAUCAGAAUGCCACGGUGAAUACGUUCCCGGGCCUUGUACACACCGCCCGUCACACCAUGGGAGUGGGUUGCAAAAGAAGUAGGUAGCUUAACCUUCGGGAGGGCGCUUACCACUUUGUGAUUCAUGACUGGGGUGAAGUCGUAACAAGGUAACCGUAGGGGAACCUGCGGUUGGAUCACCUCCUUACCUGAAAGAA
rnacentral:rRNA from 2 species